rnacentral:lncRNA from 1 species
CUUGGGCCUCCCCUGGGGCCCCCAGAAGCCCGCUUGCCCAGCAGCCUCACCCGACCCCAAAGUAGUCCCAGAACAUGACCGUGAUGUGGUUGGGGAAGCUUCUGUUGAUAUCUAGAUCUAUCUGUUUGAUGUCCUGGGAGGAGACCUGGGCCGCCUCCUUCAUUUCCUGUGGCGAAAACCGGGGAGGAGGAGCCAGCAUCAGGGACACAGAACACUAACUGUCACCAACUGUCAUCCUAAGCAGGAGCUCUGCUGGUCACCGUGUCCACUUCUACGAGGACCUUGUCGAAGGAGGCACGAGUUGAUGGCAAGCCAGAAGGGGGCCCUGCAGGCAUUCUUCCAGGAGAACCCUUACCCUGGAUCGCUGCCAGAGAACACCUGGCCCAAGAACUGGCCAUACCUGAGUCCAGAAUCCAGGGGAGAGGAAGCCUGCGCAAGGGUCCAAUUGUGAUGAGAAUGACACCCAUUUCCAGCGUCUUCUUGUGUCAAAGUCUCCUCAGCUCCCUCAGGGGACUGCAGCAGGAACCCCAUCAUCUGUCCAUGCAGAUGACCAAAGAAGAAAUGACUUUUCUACCAACACCAUCCAUUGUGUGUUUCCCUACAGUUUACGCUCCUCAGGGGAGACCAACGCCUUCUUCCUUGUACACCAAAGGGCCAUGCAAAUACAUGUAACAAUGUAGGCAAUAAGCCAGCUCUGGCUUUCAGUGGGGUGUUAGUUGGUCUUGGGUCCUCGAGUCCCUGCAUGUGUGUGGGCUAAGCUGCCCUCCCGUGUUACCUGGCCAUUGCUUCUUCUUUUGCCCCUUAGGUCUGGUGCCAAAACCAGUGAAGGAUACAGCGAAGGCAGAGCCGCUGACUGGGCUCCACAAUCCGCCAAGGAGAAGGGCCACUGCGUGGACAGGAAGAGCCUCCAGGUCGAGUCCGAAGGAAGGCAGGAAAAAACUGACAUCCAUUUCUGCAUCACAAACCAGUAUCUUCCUUCAAGCCUUUGAGGAGGAGCGGUUUCCUGGCAUUGCUAUGAGGGAGAGCCCAGCCAGAAGAACAGGCAUUCCAGUAGCCAGAAUUCAGGUGAGUUUUUACCAUGUGUCAUGGGCGUUGUUCGCUGUGGAAGGGACGGUAGCCCUUAGAUGUUGUCGGAGAGACAUGAACUUCUUGGGGGGUUAACCACGGAGUGUGGAGCAGAGGCACCAGGGGCAUAGUGUUGACCAUGCCAGUGAGAACCUGUCCAAAGGAAGAAUUUCCAAACUCAAUGGGUGGUUAACACACAUGCUUGUAGACAUGGUAACCAGACCAGCGAGGGAAUAUGUCCAAGUUGCCCUCUCUACAGAGAAGCCAAAGUGUCAGGGCUUCAAGAGCUCAGCCCUAUUAUCCAUUGAGUAGGCCCACAAGAUGCCGUUACUGUGUGUGGGCUUGCUGUCCUGUGUGUGGAGACAGAUAUGAUGCUGCCCUGGUCCUCUGGACCGUGGAGCUACAACGGAUCCUGCCUAGGAGCCACACACGUUGUGUGGAUAACCUAAUCAGCCUGGAUUACAGGCCCUAAUCCAGGUGAGGGAGAGGUGUCAGGGAACGCCUGGGCAUCAGGGAACGGCAGGGCUUUCUGCCUUAGUUCUGCACACAGCGCUUGCUGGGAUGGGAGGUGUAAGGUAGCCUUCAGGGAGAUAUAGGAAGAGUCUCUGAAAGACUCUCGGUUGGUGCAUGCCACUUCAGGUGGCAUGCCUCGGCGGUCC